ensembl:rRNA 5S_rRNA 5S ribosomal RNA
CCAUAUCACCCUAAAUGCACUUGAGUUUGUCUGAUCGCAGAAGCUAAGCAGGGUUGGGCCCAGUUAGUACUGGAUGGGAAGGAUUUGGGGG